rnacentral:rRNA from 1 species
AACCGGAUUAGAUACCCUGGUAGUCCAUGCCGUAAACGAUGUCUACUAGCCGUUGGGGCCUUUGAGGCUUUAGUGGCGCAGCUAACGCGAUAAGUAGACCGCCUGGGGAGUACGGUCGCAAGACUAAAACUCAAAUGAAUUGACGGGGGCCCGCACAAGCGGUGGAGCAUGUGGUUUAAUUCGAUGCAACGCGAAGAACCUUACCUGGCCUUGACAUACUAAGAACUUUCCAGAGAUGGAUUGGUGCCUUCGGGAACUUAGAUACAGGUGCUGCAUGGCUGUCGUCAGCUCGUGUCGUGAGAUGUUGGGUUAAGUCCCGCAACGAGCGCAACCCUUUUCCUUAUUUGCCAGCGGGUCAUGCCGGGAACUUUAAGGAUACUGCCAGUGACAAACUGGAGGAAGGCGGGGACGACGUCAAGUCAUCAUGGCCCUUACGGCCAGGGCUACACACGUGCUACAAUGGUCGGUACAAAGGGUUGCUACCUCGCGAGAGGAUGCUAAUCUCAAAAAGCCGAUCGUAGUCCGGAUCGCAGUCUGCAACUCGACUGCGUGAAGUCGGAAUCGCUAGUAAUCGCGGAUCAGAAUGCCGCGGUGAAUACGUUCCCGGGCCUUGUACACACCGCCCGUCACACCAUGGGAGUUUGUUGCACCAGAAGUAGGUAGUCUAACCGCAAGGAGGACGCUUACCACGGUGUGGCCGAUGACUGGGGUGAAGUCGUAACAAGGUAACCGUA